AUUGAACGCUGGCGGCAUGCCUUACACAUGCAAGUCGAACGGCAGCACGGGGGCAACCCUGGUGGCGAGUGGCGAACGGGUGAGUAAUGCAUCGGAACGUGCCCAGUAGUGGGGGAUAACCAGUCGAAAGACUGGCUAAUACCGCAUACGACCCAAGGGUGAAAGCGGGGGACCGUAAGGCCUCGCGCUAUUGGAGCGGCCGAUGUCUGAUUAGCUAGUUGGCGGGGUAAGAGCCCACCAAGGCGGCGAUCAGUAGCUGGUCUGAGAGGACGACCAGCCACACUGGGACUGAGACACGGCCCAGACUCCUACGGGAGGCAGCAGUGGGGAAUUUUGGACAAUGGGCGCAAGCCUGAUCCAGCCAUGCCGCGUGCGGGAAGAAGGCCUUCGGGUUGUAAACCGCUUUUGGCAGGAACGAAACGGCGCAGGCCAAUACCUUGCGCUAAUGACGGUACCUGCAGAAUAAGCACCGGCUAACUACGUGCCAGCCGCCGCGGUAACAC
rnacentral:rRNA from 1 species